AAGAGGAAAAACAACUCACUGUCACCAGGAGGGGAAAAAAGCUCCACAAAUAAGGAAGGAAAUCAACAUGACGAGGUCCAAUCCAGAAAAGAGAUGUUUGAGAAGGGCUGAUCUGAAGGGUUGAGGAUCUACAAAAACACACUGUUGUCCAAACAACAAGAAACAGAAAUCUUAGGGGCUGAAAGGACAAAAACUGGACCUAUGAAGACUGGAAACAAGUUCUCUGGACCAACGAAGGCAAGGUGGAACGAAGACAAACUGGUAAAGCACCAUAAAACAUGGAGGAGGUAGUAUCAUGGUCCAUAACACCCACAGUAAAGCAUGGAGGAGGUAGUAUCAUGGUCCAUAACACCCACAGUAAAGCAUAGAGGAGGUAGUAUCAUGGUCCAUAACACCCACAGUAAAGCAUGGAGGAUGUAGAAUCAUGGUCCAUAACACCCACAGUAAAGCAUGGAGGAUGUAGAAUCAUGGUCCAUAACACCCACAGUAAAGCAUGGAGGAGGUAGUAUCAUGGUCCAUAACACCCACAGUAAAGCAUGGAGGAUGUAGAAUCAUGGUCCAUAACACCCACAGUAAAGCAUGGAGGAGGUAGUAUUAUGGUCCAUAACACCCACAGUAAAGCAUGGAGGAGGUAGUAUCAUGGUCCAUAACACCCACAGUAAAGCAUGGAGGAGGUAGUAUCAUGGUCCAUAACACCCACAGUAAAGCAUGGAGGAGGUAGUAUCAUGGUCCAUAACACCCACAGUAAAGCAUGGAGGAGGUAGUAUCAUGGUCCAUAACACCCACAGUAAAGCAUGGAGGAGGUAGUAUCAUGGUCCAUAACACCCACAGUAAAGCAUGGAGGAUGUAGUAUCAUGGUCCAUAACACCCACAGUAAAGCAUGGAGGAUGUAGUAUCAUGGUCCAUAACACCCACAGUAAAGCAUGGAGGAGGUAGUAUCAUGGUCCAUAACACCCACAGUAAAGCAUGGAGGAUGUAGUAUCAUGGUCCAUAACACCCACAGUAAAGCAUGGAGGAUGUAGUAUCAUGGUCCAUAACACCCACAGUAAAGCAUGGAGGAGGUAGUAUGGUGAGAUGAUGUUCUGCAGGAGUUCUGUUGGAACUUAAGGUUACCAUGAACAGAACCUCUUCAUCCUCCAUCUUCAUCAGUUCCAUCUGGACUCAGACUUGUUGGUCUACAGGUAGUUUUACAGCAGAUCCUGACUAUAAGCUUCUUCUCUUUCAGGGUUACCUAGGCAACAAGAGGAAUGGGUUCUACUACAGAUGGUUUGGACUAUCAGUCUCCAUACGUCUUGAACUGAACCGAUCAGUCAGAGUGGACCAGCAGCUGGUCAUUGAUGAACUUAAAACUGGUUUAGGUGAAGCUCUGGUCUCUCCUCCAAGCUUGUUGGUCUGUGGUGUUCACAUGGAUAAAGUCCGGUUGAAUGGUUUCAUCUUUCAGAUUUAGUUUUAGAACAGGAGGACAGUUUUCUGCUGUCAGAACGUCCAUCUACAUGAAGCUUUAAAUCAGACUUUCCAUCAGCGUCUCCUGAUGGGACUUCUACAGUCAUGUUCCUCUCCAGUGUGACCUCCUUGGGUCUCCUGUCUGUCCUGUUUUUUCUCUCUGUUCUUGGCUUGUGUUCCGUCUCUCCACCGGUUCCUCCUGUUUACGGCGCCAUAAAGCUACAGAGGAGGUCAACAAACAGAAGUUCUCUCUGCAUUCCACUGGGCUCAGCCUAUGGAGGCUUCCUGUCGCCAUGACGACCACACGCACACACACACACACACACACACACACGAACAGGUCGAUGAACUUUCACACUGCCGUCAUCCAGUGUGUCACCUAAAAAACAAUCACCAUGACGACAGGAUGAAAAUGCAUCUUGCUCUUUGUACAGAUGACAAUACAGCGUGUGUGGCCGUCGCCAUAGCAACACAAGGCAUGUGUGUGAACAAAAUGUACAUCCACCUGUACAGACAACGUUUGUCCCAGCAGCCUGGAGACAAAGAAAGUUGUGUUGA